rnacentral:misc_RNA from 1 species
UUGGAUCUGUGCGAAUCAUUAGACCCCAAUGGAGAUGGUGGUGGUAAGAAAGUGGUGGUUGGCGUCUGCGCCAUGGCCAAGAAGUCGCAAUCGAAACCAAUGAAGGAGAUCCUCACACGGCUCGAUGAAUUCGAGUAUAUUAAAAUGCUCGUUUUUCCAGAGGAGGUUAUACUCAAGAAGCCUGUCGAAGAGUGGCCUAUAUGUGACUGUCUAAUCUCGUUUCAUUCAAAGGGAUUUCCUCUUGAUAAAGCAAUACAAUACGAAAAACUACGUAAACCAUAUGUUAUAAACAAUCUUCACAUGCAAUAUGACAUACAAGAUCGUAGAAGAGUAUACGCUAUUUUAGAAAAUGAAGGAAUAGAAAUUCCUCGGUAUGCUGUUCUUGAUAGAGAUUCACCAGAUCCAAAACACCACGAGUUAGUUGAAUCAGAGGAUCAUGUGGAAGUAAACGGUGUCGUAUUCAACAAGCCGUUCGUGGAAAAGCCGGUGUCGGCUGAGGACCACAAUAUUUACAUUUACUACCCGACUUCCGCGGGCGGAGGUAGCCAGCGUUUGUUUAGAAAGAUCGGUAGUCGUAGCAGCAUAUAUUCGCCAGAAUCGCGAGUCCGUAAAACUGGGUCAUUUAUUUAUGAAGAUUUUAUGCCUACAGAUGAUUUUUUGAUAUUCGUUAGUAAUUCAAAAUUUGGUAUUUUAGGAACAGAUGUAAAAGUGUAUACAGUAGGGCCAGACUACGCCCACGCUGAAGCGCGAAAGAGUCCAGCUCUCGAUGGUAAAGUUGAGAGGGACUCGGAGGGCAAAGAGAUUCGCUAUCCAGUCAUAUUGUCCAACCAAGAAAAAUUAAUUUCGAGGAAAGUCUGUCUGGCCUUCAAACAAACUGUUUGUGGUUUUGAUUUACUAAGAGCGAAUGGAAAAUCCUUUGUGUGUGACGUAAACGGCUUUUCAUUUGUGAAAAACUCAAAUAAAUAUUACGAUGACUGUGCUAAAAUUCUUGGUAAUAUGAUCUUACGGGAGUUGGCGCCAACGUUGCACAUACCCUGGUCAGUCCCAUUCCAACUGGAUGAUCCACCUAUAGUGCCUACUACGUUUGGGAAAAUGAUGGAGUUGCGUUGUGUUGUCGCCGUGAUAAGACACGGAGAUAGAACUCCUAAGCAGAAAAUGAAGGUUGAAGUUCGUCAUCCUAGGUUUUUUGAGAUAUUUGAGAAGUAUGAUGGUUUCAAGCGAGGACAUGUAAAAUUAAAAAAACCCAAGCAACUGCAGGAAAUUCUUGACAUCGCUCGCGCGCUUUUAGCAGACAUACAUACGAGACACGCUGACCCAGAAAUCGAGGAAAAACAAGGAAAAUUGGAACAACUGAAAAGCGUACUGGAAAUGUACGGGCACUUCUCAGGGAUCAACCGCAAGGUGCAGAUGAAGUAUCAGCCACGUGGGCGGCCGCGUGGCUCGUCGUCGGACGACGGUAACGCCCCCGCCACACCCGCCACACCCGCCACCCCCGCCACACCCGCAUCCGCUGACGUAGGUUGCGCCGGUGAGCCUUCCCUGGUGCUGAUACUCAAGUGGGGCGGAGAGCUGACGCCUGCGGGGCGGAUACAGGCUGAGGAACUGGGACGGAUGUUCCGGUGCAUGUACCCUGGGGGCCAGGGACGGCAUAUACCUGGUGAAGCCGGUACUCAAGGUUUGGGGUUACUCCGCCUGCAUUCAACGUUCCGUCACGACCUCAAAAUAUACGCAUCGGAUGAAGGUCGAGUGCAGAUGACGGCGGCGGCUUUCGCUAAAGGGCUGCUGGCGCUGGAGGGAGAACUUACCCCGAUUUUGGUACAAAUGGUCAAGUCGGCCAAUACGAAUGGGCUGUUGGAUAAUGACUGUGAUUCAUCUAAAGUACAAAACAUGGCGAAGGCGCGUUUGCACGAGGCGAUGCAGGCGGACCGCGAGUUCACGGCGGAGGACCGCGCGCGCAUCAACCCGUGCGCGUCGCUCAGCAUCAACGCCGCCAUGGACUUCGUGAAGAACCCGGUGCGGUGCUGCGCGCACGUGCACGCGCUCAUACAGCAGCUCGUGCGCAUCGUGCUCACCAAGAAGGACGACCCCAAGACCAAGGACACAAUACUCUACCACGGAGAAACGUGGGAAUUAAUGGGACGGCGCUGGGGCAAAAUCGAAAAGGACUUUUGUACGAAGAACAAGUCCUUCGACAUAUCGAAGAUUCCUGAUAUAUACGAUUGCAUCAAGUACGACUUGCAACACAACCAGCACACUCUACAAUUCGACCUCGCCGAGGAGUUAUAUAUGUACGCUAAGUACCUGGCUGAUAUAGUUAUACCACAGGAAUAUGGAUUAACAAUGCAAGAGAAAUUGACGAUAAGUCAGGGUAUAUGUACACCUUUGUUGAAGAAAAUUAGAGCCGACCUGCAGAGGAAUAUUGAAGAGUCUGGAGAAGAGAAUGUUAACAGAUUGAAUCCAAGGUACAGUCACGGCGUAUCGAGCCCGGGGCGGCACGUGCGCACGCGCCUGUACUUCACCAGCGAGAGCCACGUGCACUCGCUGCUCACCGUGCUGCGCUUUGGCGGAUUGCUCGAUGUUAUGAAAGACGAGCAAUGGCGCCGCGCAAUGGAAUACGUAUCAAUGGUAUCGGAGUUGAAUUAUAUGUCACAGAUCGUUGUGAUGCUGUAUGAGGACCCUACCAAGGACCCCUGUUCAGAGGAGAGAUUCCACGUGGAGUUGCACUUCAGUCCCGGCGUGAACUGCUGCGUGCAAAAGAACCUGCCGCCCGGACCCGGCUUCCGCCCGCAUUCCCGGAACCACUCUACGGCCAACAAUGAGGCAAGCUCUCCAGACGAAGUAAAAUGUAUCGAAGAAGAAGUAGAAGAUGAUCAAAUGGCGAGCCAGGAAACUUUACAACCUGACGUCAUCGAUGAAUUAGAUAGCACUUUUACGCCAACAAAAUCUUCAAAGUCGAAACUUCGUCCUUCGGAUCCGAUACCUAUUUGUAAUCUGCACUACACGGUGAGCGGACACGAGGCGUCGACGCUGGCGGCGCGCCUCAACGAGGAGCUGCGCGCGCGCAGCCACACGCACGCGGACACGCGCCCGCACGCGCAGAGCGAAGAGAAAGAGACAAAAGACAACGAGGAGCCGCAACCGCGCGCGCGCAGCUACGACCAGCACAAGCAGGCGCACGACAAUGCGGCGCCCCCGGGGUGCGCGGGGCGGGGCGGGCCGCUCGGGGGCGCGGCCUCGUGGCCGGACUGUAGCGUGCGCGGCGCAGGGCGGCGCCAGCGGCACAGCAUCGCCGGCCAGAUGAGCUACCUCAAGAUGCUGGGGCUAGCGCGUGGCAAGCUGGCGGGAGCGGCCGGCCUCUUCAGCACGGCCGUCAUCUCGGGCUCCAGCUCGGCGCCCAACCUGCGCGUCAUGAUCCCCUCCGCGGCCAACAACAACACAGCGCUGGAGGGCUUCGGCGGCGUGCCGGCCAUCCGCCCGCUGGAGACGUUACACAACGCGCUGUCGCUGCGCCAGCUCGACGCCUUCCUCGAGCGGCUCACGUGCGUGCCCGCGCCGCCGCCCACUAACAGUGUAGGAUGGAGCGGUCCGUCCUCCCUUAUGUCGUCAUCGGGCGAGCUGCCUUCCGGCCUGUCCUCCGCCGGACCCUCCUCUCCCAAUUCCAACUACGCCGGCUCGGAGCAGAAGAACAACUCUGAGAGGUUCUUCUAUUAGCGGCGACGUGACGCCGGUGUCGGCGACCUCGGAGCUGGAGUUCAACAGCAACGAGGCCACCGCCGGCUCCAUCACUGAUCACGAUAUUAUGAGUGCUGAAGGUGAGGAUGACGAAGAAACCCUAUCAGUGGAUGCUUGCAGUUCGCCAGUCAGGAUAAUACGGAACGACCUCAGUCCGGCGCCGAGCUGCAAGAGCACCCUGCGGCCUGGCACCAGCCUCACCAGCAACG